rnacentral:tRNA from 1 species
GCGAUGGUGGUAUAGUGGGGGCAUAGCUGCCUUCCAAGCAGUUGACCCGGGUUCGAUUCCCGGCCAUCGCA